CCCAGCGCCAACUCGUCUUCGUCUACGUCUCCGGCGUUGAGAGAUGGCUCAACAACGUGGAAGGAUCUCGCAAGUCGACCUCCGCCUCCUGCAGCCCCACUAGCGGCGGCACGAGCUCCACAACCUCCAUCCCUCGUGGUCCCCUACAUCCUUACGGAGGAUGCUAGGCAGUAGCACGGUGGCCUGCCCUCCUCCAUCUCUUCUUCCAGAUGCAUCGAGUAUAAGCACGCCGGCGCCCUCUCCCGGCCAUGUCUGUGAAAUCUGAUGGAGUUGGAUAUCCCUUGUGCCACGAGGAUGGAGCCAAACAGACCAUGUGGUCAAUCCUUGAUAUGUGAAUUUGGUUGGUGCGGUCAUGGCCUGUUCUUUCUCUGGCCGUAGCAACAUGAAGGCUGAUGUACCCGAUCCUCCUGGAGAUGGUAUAGAGAGGCUGGAUGGGUCCACUCUCUUAUGGACGGAGUCUGGUUCCGGCAAUGAGUUUGCGCUCUGCUUUCUCGACGAUGUCGCCAUCUCCCCGGUCACGGCGGCGCUCUCGACGCUGUUGCAGGCUCGCACAGCUUCGCGUGCUAGUGGUGUAAGGGGCGGCCGUCGCCUCUACUAGGCUGCACGCCAUGAACUGGGGGAUAUAUCAUGUUUCAGUAAUGGAGUUAAAAACAUACAAUCGAGCUCUCCAUAGAGCUCGAUGGAGCCGACCCUCCCCUUCCUCUGCCUCGACAGCUGGUACCAACACCAACCUCGGACACCUGCGAGCGGCAAGUGCCACCGUGCACUCGGUAGUUGGCUAAUUCAAGGUUGCCGCCGUCAGUCCCCUGCUCGACCUUGCUGCGACCGAGGCAUACAAUAUCACAUUGAUCCACACAAGAAGAAAAUGGCAUAUUUUAGCAUUCUAGCUUCCUCGCUGGGGAGCUACAUCUCCUGCUGGUAGGUUAGUUGCUGAAGAUGGGGUUCUUAAUGUACUUUAAUUAUAUCUUCACUGGCUAAUUUUAGUUUGCAGGGUAUGGUCAGCAAGAAUUUGUUAUUAAUUUAACAUGAUUAAAGUGCCAGCAACUUGGUGCACAACCUACUCCUAUAAUCUUAACGUCUAAUCGACCAAGCUGCCCAUUCUUGAGUUAUGAUGACAGAGAACAAAUUUGGAUCUGAUUUUUCAAAUUUAAUCCUCAGAUCUUCCUAUAUUUGUUCGUGCGGUUUUGUGUGUGGAAGAAGGACAUGCAUGUUCGAGCUUGGCGCAGACGCACAUCAUUUCGAUCUGUGAAUUUUGCACAUGAGGUACCGAUGGAAACAACUACUUUGAAGGAAUCUGAUGCUUCAGUUCACCAUUUGGGAGAUCUAAGAGGCAUUCUCUCUCUGCAAGAAAAUUUGCAAUCUGAUACAAAUAUCUUCUCAUUUACUGCAUGGAAAAUCAGAUAAAAAAAGGAAGCAUCUUAGAUUGACAUCCACGAAGUUCAGCAGGUACGUAUAUAUUUUUAUAUAUUUGGUUUGAUGCUCCAUUGUAUCCCAUAUAUAGUUGAACUUCAGAGAAGGUCAGGUAAUCGAAUGGACUCCAAAAUCGUUGAGACCUCCGAAAUGACUUAUCUGGGUGGUGAUCCACUUCCUCAGCAUGGAGGACCUUCUGUCCACUAGAGGACUUAGCCGCAAAGCAUAUGCUACUUCCUUCGCAUAACUCCAGAGUGGUGUGAAAUUAUAUUUCUGUCAAGGCACUAUGCACCUAAUACAAUGAAGAUGUAUUCAAGAAACUUCCCAAAACACAUGAAGUGAACUUUCUGACGAUAUAAGAACCUGAUGAGCUGCUAUUAAGAUCAAACCAACAAAGGAAUGUAAUCAUUGGAUUUUCACCAUGGAACUCAUUUUGUACAUUGCUUUGAAACGGAAUUUGCCAAAAUUCCAUUCAACUUCCAUCAUUCUUUAUUUGCAGAGCACCAAAACGAGGCCUAAUUAGUAAAUGUGAUAUACAUUGAGACCAUAAUAAUAAAAUGCAGCUCAAAUCAAUACCAGCCUUGAAUAUGAAGUAAUCCACUAUCUUUUUUCCAUUACCAUGGUAGCUCAUUAAUUUCAGAUUUAGUUGCAUAUUAUUUUAUUUAUGAACUAUGUAUGCAUUGCUGCAUAAGAUGGAAAUUAAGGUUAAACAUUAGCUGACAUUCUAUUUGUUACACUCUUUUGAACUGAAAAAAGUUACUUGUUUGCCAGCCACUGGAAAAUUUCAGGUGCCUGACAAGGAAACUAUGUAGAGGUAGGCAGCCCAAGUAAUUAGUCAUUUGGAUUUACUUAAGUUUCUGAAUUUCAUCAGGUUUGUCCUCUGCUCCAUAUCUCUACAAAUACUUUUCUCAACCUUUACCAACAUCAGUAUAUCUUAUGGGCAUAGGAAAGUGAUAUGUCGACCACAAGCUUGGGGCAAAUAGGCUGGCUAUAGAUUAAAAAUGAACUUGAGUAAAAGAAAUAUAAAAUGAAAAAAGGUUGCCCAACUCAAUAUAACCAGUUAUAAUAUUAUGGGUUCUGCAUUCACAUAACAUGAGUGUGAAUGUGUUCCCUGUCUAUGCAGAUUAGUUUUUUGCUAGAGUUUGUAGAUCAGUAGCAAAUAAUAUAUUUGGGUGGACUAAAGAAAACAAGUUUAUUUUAGUAUCAAUUGCUACAUGCUCUAUAUAUUUGUGGGAAAGCUUCACAACUAGCUAGAGACAAGAGGCAUUACUAAACAACGCACCUUCUGGUUUUUUUUUUCAACUGCGUCAACUCAUUAGUUUUUUAUAAUAAUCAAACUUAUAUUGGUUAAGAAUACUCAUAAUAUACUUAUUUUUAUAAAAUUCAAAUUAAAUAGUUUAGCAUUAGUAUGACUUUGCAAAACUCAAGCCACCCCUCGACAUUGUCAGAUGAGAAAUAUAUCCCAUAUUAUCUCAGAAAUUAAAAAAAGGUACCUAUAAAGUGAUAUUUGUUCACUGGGGGAAAUGGAGAAAGCUAUAUGAUAUUUAGUACAUUUUGGAAUAUUUACAAUACUUAUGUACUUUAGUUGUAUAGAGUUUUAUAUUUCUUAAUAGAAACCAACGAAUCGGUUAAUACAAUAAUUAAGCACUCAAAAGCAUAUUUAUAAAUGGUCGUCCGACUCCGUGGUAGCUGGUAAGCUCCCCAGGGUCUUGCCAGGUCAAGAAUUGAUUACUUAUGAAACUCAUCAUGUUACAUAUUCUCCUCAGCUAGCUGGGGCCACAUAAUUAGAACGUUCUGAUGGUUCGAUAUUCGUUACUAAUACACAAAGUUGUAGGCUUUGGUGAAUCUGUUGGGUUCCUGCAGGUCCAAGGUCAAGAAAUUGCGCAGACAGUUCCACUGUUCCAAGAAAUGACGUCUGAUGCAUCUCUGUAAAAGAGGGAUAUUGGUUGUACAAUAAAAACCCGAUAGAUGGUCCUGCUCUGGUGUUUUAGGUUGCUGCAGCAGGGCAAAGCUCAGGAUGUCUCCAAAGGAAAGUUGUGGCUUGCAUACCUCUGUUUUUAGAAGUGAGCCAGACCCAUCAUUUUUUACUAAGUUGAGUGUAUCUAUUUGUUCCAUCGCUACGCACAAUGCAUAUGAGAUAUUAAUAGUUUUAGAAACACAUCCACAAACACAUUGCUACAUGUCUAUCUGUAACAUAACAGUAUACCAUUUUCAUUUACAUUUCGUUUUCUAACUACCAUUUAAGAAUUGA